rnacentral:tRNA from 1 species
ACCUGGGUGCCUCAGUCGGUUGAGCGCCUGACUUAAGCUCAGGUAAUGAUCUCACAGCUCUGUGGGAUCGAGCCCCACAUCAGGCU